AUUUAUAGUGUUAGCGAAAUAAAAUUCUCGCGAGAAUAUCAACUUGUUGGAGUUGUGUAUUGGGAAAUUUUCUUUCGGGAAAGGAAAUUCAUUAACACAUAAUGCUCGUGUGGAAAGUAAUUCCUUUUUCGAAACUGAAGUUAGUUUAAGUAUAGACAUUCCUUUGAUUUUCUAUGGUUUAAGCUAGGGCUUGAAUCUUGAGAGGAAUCUACAGUUAAGGAACGACUAUGAUAUACAGGAACGAGUCAAUUAUUGGCCUUGGGUUGAGCCAAUGGGAACUCAACUAUGUCCUGUUUAAUAUAUCAAUAAAUAUCAUGCAAUAUCCCUACAUCAAGCGGGUUUUCCACUAGUAAAUUUCUUCGCGCGAACCGAUUUUUUUAUGGUUAAAAUUGAAAAUAAUUAAUUAAAAAUCUAAUUAGUUCCAGCCGAGAGGUUAGAAAACAAAGGAUUCGUUUCGCUAGUGGAAAACCGGCUUAAAUUAAUCAAACAUAAUCUAUAUACAGUUAUAUCAAAGCAGUCAGUUGUUUUCUGCAUUGACCACACGCGUACGAGGCGGGGAUGGGAGCAGGGGGCAGUGGCAGUUGCCCCCUCCCCCCCAGAAAAAAUUCAAAUGUCGAUAGUCGGGCAAAUGUUGAACGUAAGUUGGGAAAAAGUGGGAAAAAUAAGCUGAAAACAAGAAAGAUAAUAGUAAAACAUUCAAGAAAAUAGGGCAAUGUCGCAAUUUCCGAACUUAACAGGGAAUUCAAUUAGUCUUUGAUAUAACUGUAGGUACGUUACUCGCCUCGCGUGUUUCUACAACAUUG